GUGAGGAAUAUUGGUCAAUGGGCGGAAGCCUGAACCAGCCAAGUCGCGUGAGGGAAGAAGGCCCUGCGGGUCGCAGACCUCUUUGGACGGGGAGCAAGGCCGCCGACGUGUCGGCGGAAGGAGAGUACCCGUAGAACAAGCAUCGGCUAACUCCGUGCCAGCAGCCGCGGUAAUACGGAGGAUGCGAGCGUUAUCCGGAUUUAUUGGGUUUAAAGGGUGCGCAGGCGGCACGGCAAGCCGGCGGUCAAAUCGCGGGGCUCAACCCCGCCCAGCCGUCGGAACUGCCGGGCUAGAGUGGGCGAGAAGUGCGCGGAAUGCGUGGUGUAGCGGUGAAAUGCAUAGAUAUCACGCAGAACUCCGAUUGCGAAGGCAGCGCACCGGCGCCCUACUGACGCUCAGGCACGAAAGCGUGGGUAUCGAACAGG
rnacentral:rRNA from 1 species